rnacentral:rRNA from 1 species
UACGAAGGGGGCUAGCGUUGUUCGGAUUUACUGGGCGUAAAGCGCACGUAGGCGGACUGUUAAGUCGGGGGUGAAAUCCUGGAGCUCAACUUCAGAAUUGCCUUCGAUACUGGCUUUCUAGAGGCUGGAAGAGGUUAGUGGAAUUCCCAGUGUAGAGGUGAAAUUCGUAGAUAUUGGGAAGAACACCAGUGGCGGAGGCGGCUAACUGGUCCAGAUCUGACGCUGAGGUGCGAAAGCGUGGGGAGCAAACAGG